GGAUUAGAUACCCUGGUAGUCCACGCCGUAAACGAUGAGUGCUAAGUGUUGGAGGGUUUCCCCCCUUCAGUGCUGCAGCUAACGCCUUAAGCACUCCGCCUGGGGAGUACGACCGCAAGGUUGAAACUCAAAGGAAUUGACGGGGGCCCGCACCAGCGGUGGAGCAUGUGGUUUAAUUUGAAGCAACGCGAAGAACCUUACCCGGUCUUGACAUCCUUUGACCCCUCUAGAGAUAGAGCUUUCCCUUUGGGGGCAAAGUGACAGGUGGUGCAUGGUUGUUGUCAGCUCGUGUUGUGAGAUGUUGGGUUAAGUCCCGCAACGAGCGCAACCCUUAUUGUUAGUUGCCCUCAUUCAGUUGGGCACUUUAGCAAGACUGCCGGUGACAAACCGGAGGAAGGUGGGGAUGACGUCAAAUCAUCAUGCCCCUUAUGACCUGGGCUACACACGUGGUACAAUGGGAAGUACAACGAGUUGCGAAGUCGCGAGGGUAAGCUAAUUUUUUAAAGCUUUUUUCAGUUUGGAUUGCAGGGUGCAACUUGCCUGCAUGAAGCCGGAAUCGCUAGUAAUCGCGGAUCAGCACGCCGCGGUGAAUACGUUCCCGGGCCUUGUACACACCGCCCGUCACACCCCGAGAGUUUGUAACCCCCGAAGUCGGUG
rnacentral:rRNA from 1 species